CACGUAGGGGACGAGCGUUGUCCGGAUUCAUUGGGCGUAAAGCGCACGUAGGCGGCUUCUUAAGUCAGGGGUGAAAUCCUGGAGCUCAACUCCAGAACUGCCUUUGAUACUGAGGAUCUUGAGUUCGGGAGAGGUGAGUGGAACUGCGAGUGUAGAGGUGAAAUUCGUAGAUAUUCGCAAGAACACCAGUGGCGAAGGCGGCUCACUGGCCCGAUACUGACGCUGAGGCACGAAAGCGAUGGGGAGGCAAAC
rnacentral:rRNA from 1 species